GUUAUAAUACGAAAAUCGUGUUGACAAAUAUUAAGGCUCAACAAAUUGCCAUUUAUGUAAGAUACAGUCACAGAAAUAAUUAUAUUUAUAAGUACGUCUGAACCAGUGACAACUCUACAACAGAUUUAUCCAUCAGAUCACCAGCAGUGAUGGUGAUGCAUGGUUGUAUACAUUCUGUAUAUAGAACUCGUCUAAACAUCAAC
rnacentral:lncRNA from 1 species